UCGAAAGCUGACACAGUAUGGAUAUAGGGAAAUCGAAAGUGUAACAAAGAAAUAACAAAAUGGCUGCGUCGUUAGAAUCAUCCCAAAAUACAGGAUCGGAUCUCUUUUUUGAUGUAUGUUGUUCUGUCUGCGAAGAGGAUGGAAUAAAUAAGGAAGGACUAUUUCACUGUCAGAAAUGCUCGAAAACAUACUGCGAUGAAUGUGUGAUAAUGCACAACAAAGUACUGAAAAGUCAUCCAGUAACAUCAAAAUGUGAAGGUGACAACUUGCCUGUGUCCACCAUGUUGGAUGAUACCCUAGAGUUAUGCGAGGAGCACAGGACGGAGAAACUGACCAUGUUCUGUGAAGAUCAUGAAAAGCUGCUCUGCCAUGUCUGUCAUCUCCGAAAUCAUAAACAAUGCAGUGAGGUUGUUCUGUUGGCUGACAAGCUUAAAUCAUCUACACAGCGUAUGAAUGUAGCUCAGAUGUCGAAAACAAUGGAACAGUUGCAGAAAAGUUUACAGGAUAUGGUGGACAGAGAAAAACAGAACAAAAAGUCUCUUAAAGCUUCAUAUGAUCUUGUUCUGAAAGAAGUACUUGAUUUACGUCGACAAAUCAACGACAAUUUAGACCUGCUUCAACAAAACACUUUAAGAGAAUUGGAAACAAAACAUGCGAGUGCAAAUGCCUCUUUAGAAGAUCAUCUCCAAAAAUGCUUACAAUUUAUUUCAAAGCUAAAGGGAUUCGGCACCAAGCUCAAAGGCAAUUUGCCACCUGAACGAUCGUUUAUAACUUUCAGAAAAUGUCUUGAUCAUACUGCUGCAGCAGAUUCACUCUUGAACAGCAUGAUAAAUAAUAAUGGCGCUGACAUGAAACUCCUGCCAAACAGCGAAUUGCUACAAUGUCUUGCAGACUGCACUGAUCUCGGGAAAAUCACCAGUCGCAUAGGCGAGCCAAAGCAUAACGUUGAUCCAAACAAGAUCAUCAGCAUUCAUGAGAAGUCACAAUAUAAUGUUCACACAGCGACUGAUAGCCGCGAGAGUUCCAUAACUGGUAUAUGUGUGACGUCCAACGGGGAUCUCGUCAUUUCGGACUUCAGCAAUUGUUGUGUGAAACUUCUCAACCAGGCGUACAAGGUGAUAGAUCAAGUAAAACUUUCUACUACUCCGUGGUCCAUGUGUAACAUUUCCUCCUUCGAGAUUGCGGUGACUGUAAGCGAAUAUUAUGCUGAUCGCGGGAUUCACUUCUUCCAAGCAGAUAAUGAAAAGAUUACACAGAUAAAGGUUCUAAAAAUGAAUCAUGUAUGUUACGGAAUAGCGUAUCACGAUGCAGGACUGUUUGUGACUUCCGGUACUGCGCUGUACCAAUACACAAUGGAUGGACGUUUAGUAAAGAAGCUAUACGAAGAUACUUCUAUAACAUCCAAAGUUGUAGGUGUUGGGAUGAGUCCUGAUGGGAGGAGUAUCUAUGUGACGGAUAGCAGCAAUGGAAAGCUCCUCACACUGACCAGGGAUGGAGAAGUCACAGCCACGCUACAGGAUCCUGCAUUCAAACUUAGUUUAUAUGUCACGUGCAACUUACACGUGGCAGCCACAGGACAUGUGUUUGUCUUUGGUGACAAAACAAUAAGUCAGGUUUACGUGGACGGCAAGAAAAUUCUCAAUACCAUAACACUUGAUGUGCCUUAUACUGGAUCUGUCUACUUAAAUGAAGAUAAACGAAAGUUCCUUAUUGGAGUUCGGAACAAUGACAACAUCAUUAAGUUCAAAAUAAAAACAAAUUUAACUUAAUUGACAUGUACAAAUAUAGAGCGUAGUUACGAGCAUUAAAUAUUUAAUAUCACUAGUCAUAUAUGAACCAAAUUUAUGUUUCAAAAAAUUAUUAGACUUUUUUAACAAAAUAAGAUUUAUUAUUUUCAAAAAGAAUUUUUUUAGUUGUACAUUAAGGACAUUUACGUAGGGCGAGUAAUUUACGUUCGUAGUACGAUUUCAAUCUUAUUUAAUAAAUGGGAUAUUCUUUUGAAUUUCAUGUUUGUUUGGUUUGUUUUUAAGUUUAUAGACUUAAAGAAUACGUGAUGUAUUGUGUACUUAUUUCAUUAAGAUUUUAUUGCAUAUUUUCUUUCGAAAUGUGUCUUAGAUAUCGUUGAUACAGUCACAUUCGGUACAUUCAUAGACAUCAAAACACGGAAACAAUGUUCCCCGUGCGAAUGUGGUUUGAGCAAUAAAGAUUUUUAUUUAAAACUCAUGGACACAACAUUGCAUACAUAUUUAUGUGAAAAAGUGUGAAGAUAAUAAAAUCACAAUCACUUGAUUCUAAAUAAAUAUAAUAAUGUACAUACAAGUGAGAAAACGUUGUAUUUCAUAGGAAGUUUUAUGUUGGUCAGUCAAAGUAGAAACAAAAUAAUCCACGAUAGUCUUAGUUGUGAAGCCUUUGAUUACUAAAUUGUACAUACAAUAUUUGAAUCUAUACUGUGUUUAAGUUAUUAUUAUGUAUGCGUUGAAGCACAGGUGGGUUUUAUAAAAAAAAUAUUAGCACUCUUGAUAAUAUUUUUGUACUGCAUGGUCUUCUGACACAGUUAUUUAAUCAAGGAAAACAGCUUUAUUGUGCAUUUGUGGAUUUUAGUAAAGUAAAGAUUACGUAGUCCGAGAAAACCUUUGGAGCAAACUUAUUAAACUAGGGUUACCAGGCAAAAUUCUAAUAUUGUAAAAUCGAUAAACCCUUCUGUUAAAUCUAGAGUAAAAUACUGUUAUCAAUUAAGUGAAGAUUUCGAAUGUAGGCUAGGAGUCCGGCGAUGAGAUUGCUUAUCGCCGUUUCAUGUAUUUAAAUGAUUUAAAAUCAGUGCCCGCUGAAAGUGGCUUAAAUGGUAUAGAUGUAGAUAACUUAAAACUAUUUCUUGUGUUGUAUGCAGAUGAUAUCAUUAUUUUUGCAAAUAACGCAGCGGAAUUGCAAAACAAUCUAAUUUAUUUUAUGAAUAUUGUAAACGCUGGAAGUUAGAAGUGAACAGCGAUAAAACUUAAGUCAUGAUAUUCAGAAAAGAAGGGCGGUUGCCAAACUAUAUUUCUUUUCACAAUAAUGAUAUUGCAAUUGAGAUUGUUACUAAGUUUAAUUACGUACCUUGGUGUCGUAUUCACAACUGGUGGUUCGUUCUCUGAUGCACAAAGCACAUUAGUGGCCAAGCCUUAAAGGCUAUUUUCAAGAUGAACAAAUACCUUUACAAAUAUACCGACAUUACUGUGAAACACAGAUUAGAUUUUUCUGAUAUACUUAUAUCACCUAUUCUUAAUUACGGAAGUGAAGUUUGGUGUUUUGUCAAGGGCGCUAUAGAACGUUUUCAUAUGCAAUUUUGUAUAAUUCUGCUGGGUGUUAAAAGAAGUACUCAAACGAUUUUGUAUACGGCGAACUUGUGCGUCUAAACUGUCAAACAAGUAGAUAUUAUAACAAUAUAAAAUACUGGAUUAAAAUAUUACAUACUAAUAGUAAUAAAUUCAAUAAAAAAAGUUUACCUUGCAUUUUUAAAUGACUGCGAAAGAUACCCUAAUAAAAAAAAGUUGGUGUCCCUACUACGUGAUUUGCUAAGCACACUUGGCUUUUACGAUGCCUGGUAUUUCCAGGAUGUCGGUCACGAUACUGUGUUUCUUGGAGCUAUUAAACAACGACUUACAGAUAAUUGUAUCCAAACCUGGAACGGCCGAUUGGUAAACUCUAGUAGAGCUCUUUUUAUAGGAAUAUAGCAUCCUUUCAACUUCAACCAUAUUAAGUAUAAGGUUAUAUUAAAAAGUAUAGAUUUAGCGUUACUAGGUUACGAGUAUCCUCUCAUAGAUUAAGAAUAGAAAAUGACAGAUGGUUUAAGCCCAACCCUACGCCUGUUGAGCAAAGGACACGUAUUGUUUGUAAUCGUCUAGAAGACGAAUAUCAUUUAGAGAUUAAAUGCAACUUAUAUACAGAUUUCAGAUGUAAAUAUAUACAUUCAUAUUACAAAAACAGACCAAAUAUGCAAACAUUUAUAGAAAUAAUGUCUUACUAUAGUGAAUCUGUGUUAGGAAAACUAAGUGCUUUUGUCUAUGACGCUUUGUCAGUUAGAUCAACGAAAAUGUAUGUGCCCAUUUGAUGUAUAUUUACCCAUUAACUAGCUGAAAAAAUGUAAACUGCUGCUGUUUUUUUAUUUUGUAUGUGAAUGAAAUCCUGUAUAAUGAGUAUUUUUGUGUGAGUUCUUGUUUACGCCUUCGUAGUUUGUUUUGUUGAGUAAAUGUAUGUUAGAAAAAAUGCAUUGUGUAAUAAUAAGUAGGAUUACUCUUCUUAAAUUAAACGUAUUUCAUCUAUGUAUGCUGCCGACUAUUUGCUUUAGCUGUAUUAUCAGCUGUAUUUUGUGUGCGUUUCUUGUUUUACCCUCUUUAUGUUUUGUUUGUAGAGUAAAUGUACGUUAAAAUUAAUGCAAUAUGUAUUAAUAAGCAUAAGUAUGAGUUCUCCUCUUAAAUAUUAGUAUUACGGUUAAUAUGUAUUUCAUGCUGUAAAUCAUUUUUUGACACUACUUAUGUAAUUAUUAUUUUAAAAGUUGUGUAACCCUCGCCUACUCAUAAUUUCAUGUGCUUGUUAUAAUCAUUUUUAUAUGCCUAUUACUGUAGUUAUUAUAUUGCUUGUACUAAAAUGUGUCCACAUGGGCCAUUUGCAUUCUGGAAAUGAUGUAAAUAAAAUCUUAAAUCUAUAUAUAAAUCUAUUUUAGUGAAUUAAUAAGUAAACUUUAUACAAAUAUAUUAUUGUAAAUUAUUCCUGUAACCGAAUAAGUAAAAAUUGAUACAUCUGGAUAGUAGUUGUGAAAUAAAAAACAAUUUAGAAGCUUUUCAAUUUCAAACGAAAUAUUUCGAAUAAGAAGUAAAUGAAAAGUUUGUUUUUACAAUUUAAUAUAUUGCUUAAUGAAUUGUGUUUACAGAUUAAGUUUGAUUUUCGUCUGAUUUCGAAGAUCGUUACCAUGAACAUACAAGUCUGCAUAAACAGCUGUAUACACCACAUGUCAAAACAGCUGUAUACACCCCAUGUCAAAACAGCUGUAUACACCCCAUGUCAAAACAGCUGUAUACACCACAUGUCAUAACAGCUGUAUACACCGCAUGUCGUAACAGCUGUAUACACCACAUGUCAUAACAGCUGUAUACACCGCAUGUCAUAACAGCUGUAUACAUCCCAUGUCAUAAUGUAUCUAUUGGAUUCGUUCAUGUGCGUACUGCAGUCUUGUCGCUGCUUUUGUCAUCUGUCCGAGACUGAUGUCGUUUCUACUCAGAUGGUAACCCAUUUAUGCCUAGUGGACUCUCCCAUCCUUCUAAAUUGGAUCAAUUUAUUUACAAAAUUAGGGAUGUCUAGUAUAUUUAUUUCUAUAUUUAGAAUAUUUAUUACAGAAAUUCCUUUAAGCAAACAGCGCACAACCUGAUGACGCCGCAGCGUCUCAUCUGGGUCUACGCUGUUUGCCAAGGCCUUUUUCUAGACGCUAGGCUUAAAUGGGUUAAACAUGUAUUGUAAUAUUUUGAGUUCUUGUCAGAUUAUCACAUUGAUACAUUAUAUUCUUGUUAGAAUGUUUACACAUAAAGUUAGAUUAAGCCUAAAUAAACUUCCAUCUUCAUG